rnacentral:rRNA from 1 species
CACGAAGGGGGCUAGCGUUGCUCGGAAUUACUGGGCGUAAAGCGCACGUAGGCGGAUUGUUAAGUCGGGGGUGAAAUCCUGGAGCUCAACUCCAGAACUGCCUUUGAUACUGGGGAUCUCGAGUCCGGAAGAGGUGAGUGGAACUCCGAGUGUAGAGGUGAAAUUCGUAGAUAUUCGGAAGAACACCAGUGGCGAAGGCGGCUCACUGGUCCGGUACUGACGCUGAGGUGCGAAAGCGUGGGGAGCAAACAGG